ACGCUCGACAGUGUCAGCAGCCGCGGUAAUACGUAGGGUGCAAGCGUUAAUCGGAAUUACUGGGCGUAAAGCGUGCGCAGGCGGUAAUGUAAGACAGUUGUGAAAUCCCCGGGCUCAACCUGGGAACUGCAUCUGUGACUGCAUUGCUGGAGUACGGCAGAGGGGGAUGGAAUUCCGCGUGUAGCAGUGAAAUGCGUAGAUAUGCGGAGGAACACCGAUGGCGAAGGCAAUCCCCUGGGCCUGUACUGACGCUCAUGCACGAAAGCGUGGGGAGCAAACAGGAUUAGAUACCCUGGUAGUCCACGCCCUAAACGAUGUCAACUGGUUGUUGGGUCUUCACUGACUCAGUAACGAAGCUAACGCGUGAAGUUGACCGCCUGGGGAGUACGGCCGCAAGGUUGAAACUUAAAUGAAUUGACGGG
rnacentral:rRNA from 1 species